GGGAGAUGAUGAUGAUGAUGAUGAUGCUCAUGGCCAUGCCCUUUGUAAAGAGUGGACGUCGCAGUUCUUUCUGCAAGCAUCGCUUGUUGUCAAAUGGUCAAGUGAGCCCAGUUUUAAUAUUAAACAGGGAUGUACAAGUCAUGCCUGGGAACCAUCCUCUCAUAGCAUGUUAGAGUCAAGAACCCUCCCCUUCCUUUUGACCGGUGCCCCAAGAGGAAACGAGCAGAGAUUUGAUCCAAUUGAAUUAAGUACUUGUUAUGUUGCCCUGUUGCAGGAUCUAUACAGCCAUAUGUGGGACGCAUCUUCCAUUGUUUGCCCUGACUUAAUCUUUCCUCAGAAUAAAUGCAAGUAAACACAUACUCUGUGUAAGAAUGCCUUGUUCAACACCAGAAAGAAUACCUUCUUUAAGACCAAAAACAAAUUUGCUUCAUUUUACAAGUGAUUUAUUUCCAAUGGCCUCUUGCCUGUGUUCAAGACACACUGAAGGCACAUCUUACAUUCAAACGAAAUAUUGCUUUGCACAGCUAAUGUAACAUAUUCCUUGUUGUUGCCUGCAAUAACCUUGCAAGCAAGAAACAUGUUUUGUUGUUGUUUAUAUGACUGAGCUUAAAAACAAGUCUGUAAUUGGGCAUCAUAAAUAAUGCUGCUUAUAUAUUCAUUUUACACAUAUGUCUUUCAAGGUACCUCUAGUUGUCAGUACCCAGACAUUCGCUGAAAUAUCCAGUCUUGCUAUUUCAACCUUCAUCAUCCACAGACGCAUUUGCAUCCAAAGUGGCACCUUCAUAUCCCAGUUUCACAUGUUGUCCGAGAACUUUCAUACGUGCAGACAGAGCUUGUUGUGCUUGCUGACUCCUCUUAGGUCUCUUCAAGCUUCCUCACAUCUUGUCUUUCAAUGCGUGUGCGUGACAUCGUUUGUUUUUCCAGUGCUUCCUGCAUCCCGUCUGUUGUUUCAGCCUUCCUGAAACCAUGUCAAUGACUAAGAGAUACAACAUGUUUGUAUGUGGAAAAGUUCACAGGAUCCUCGCUUGACAUUUUUGCAAUGCUACGCUUGCUAUUCAGUGUUUGCUUUUCCUGGGUAUCCCAUGGCCUUCCCCAAACGCGACCACACAUUUCAGCUCUCGUUGAUGUCGGGCAUUCAUGAUGGGGCACAGUCUAAUGAUGCCAUCUUCCCUCCCUUCUUAUGCCUCUUACAUUUUGUUUAUGACUGUGCUGAGAACAUCAACCACAAAGUUGUAGAUUUCGUCGGGUGCUUGAGCCUUUGGGCUUGAACUUGCAUUGCGAGCACUUGGCUACUGCUGCAGUAAGCGAAGAGUCGAACUGCCUUUCUAACGUUCACUGUAUAAUACCCCAAAAACAGAAUCACAUGGCGCGCUGAUGGCACACACUAUACGCCCUUUCUUCGUCUUUCCCCAACAGCUACCAUCUCUGUGUGUUUUGCCAUGGAUGGCACCUUUCCAGCCUUUGCAUGUUUUUAUGAAACGCCUCCACAUUAAUGGUGCAUCACCGUGCACCAAGAGAAAUUCAGGAUGUGGAGUCUCGUCACUGCAAUGAUGCUUGCAGGCUGUUUUUAUCUCCUAUGCAGUGUUCUGUUUCACUAUUGUAGCCUCUUGCAGCCAUAUCCAUUCAUUUGUACGGAGAGCUUGAGAGAUCUGUUUUAUGUGCUAACAUUCACUUUGUACUGUUCCACUGUCUUUAUGAUGCAGUAGAAUAAUCUGGAGCUUCAUCAUGUUCCAUAAGGCAAAGUAAUUUUUAGCCUUGCACGUCCUGUAACUUAUUUUUAAGCUUUGUCAUACCAACAACAACAAGACAUCUUUGCCUAACAAGGACACAGGUGUAGCACACAAUAUCAUGGCAUCAAAUGUCACCACAAUUGUGGCUACUAUUUCAGUAGCACACUGCCUUCCAGGCAUAUAUAUGGUACAAAUGCACACACAGUAUCCAGACUACAAAGAAAUUCUUUUCCUUUUUUUUUUCAAUGCUUCUGCAAUGUUUUCAGCUGUUUCCUUUACUCCCCAAAUCGUGCUUAAACUACUACUUCUGUGACGAACUUGUAGUACAGUGCUGACUUCUGUGUACAGUAAAACCCCCAGUGUACAGUGAAACCUCUAAUUACAGAGAUCCCCUCAGGUCACACGCCUCCGUUUGACCGGACAGCAGCCAUUGCCUAGGAAGUAGUAUUUAGCAUCUCUUAUGGACGUCCGUUCUAUGAGCAACUUCCUUUCAUCUACAGAAACACCAGACAUUGACUGUUUGUACUAGACAGAUCUCACCACAUUCCACAUUUCUUUUUUUGCACCAUUGCAUGAUUUUCCAUAAACACAAUACAACUAGGCUUUCCAGUGUUCUGUGUUUAUAUUUUCCGAGGUGGCAUAAGAUAGGGCGAAGAAAAUUGACACAGAGAAGUUAUCCUAUUAUUUCAUUAUGUUAUUAGACAAUUCAAUGUUGUACCACUGUAAUUUGGUUUGGUGUUCAUUUUUGCUGUGUUUCGGGAGAUCUCAAAAAUUCUAAACACUGGAAACCCUAAAUACAACACAUACAGUACCCACAUACAAUGAGUAGAUACACAAGGACCAGUACAGCAUCUGCCAUUCUUUUACUUUUUAUGUUUCUUUUCUCUAUGCUUAAUGCAAAUGUUUUUUACAGAUGAUGGACGAAAGUGUACUCAUCAUGAGGGUCAAUCAUUUCCUUCAUUCCUAUGACCUUCUGGCAGCCAAGGACACUUGGCCACUUCACACAUUACGGACGACGAACACAUAAAGCAGUCCAGUGAACUUCGAUGCAACUUAGCCGCAACUAUAACGAAUGUCUGAAGCUUGUACGCUUAUGUAUCAGGUCACCCCAUGAAAUGUUAUGAAAUUCUGGCACUACAAAAUUAAUUAAGAACACACUUGUCAUCAAACAACAAUGACAACACAAUGGUGUGUAACAGAAUUCAAAAUCUAAUUCCACAGUCCUGCUUUUUAGUUGUAGGGCUAAAUUUUUUUACACCAUAUGCCGGAUAAACAAGAUGAGUAGGAAAUAUUUUCCCAGUGACGUUUCUGUAACUUCUUGCAGGUCCUCCUUGCCGCCCAUAGGCAGGCAUUAUCUCUCUGCAGCCCACCCUUACAAUUGACCUGUGCUGGGGGCUUCUUCGACUCUUCCAGCUGCUAGCAGUAGGUGUUCGCAGUGACUUUCCAGCUCAGUGGAGACAAUCUCGCAUGGAUGAUACCAUGCACCCUCCACUAGGCAUACAACGCCAAUUUCCGCAGCUGAAGUUCGCCUUGCUGCAGUUGCUUGAAGUUGCCUUACACACACACCUUGCUGAUACAACUUGCUGCAGUUUGAUCUCGUUGCGUGCACAAUGAAGCCAUCUUCAUCCCAUCCGAGUGUGUGUGGUGACUCUCGAUGGCAUCUUAGCACACAUCCCAGAGCACUCACUUGCUGCGAGAGCAUCAGCUCGGGAUGGAGCCAUGCGACAUUGUGGGCCUCUUCAGGGGCCCACGGUGCCAAAGGCCUAACUUUUGCUGCGCCCAAGCAUAUGAACCCAUCACAUACGGUGAGUCCACCAUGCCCUUUCUUACUGCGCUGUUAGGAAUGUGCACUUUCUUUCAAGGAGGUGUUUCACAAGAAAGUUUUUUAAGUAGUCAUCCAUUAGGGAUUCCUUUAUAUAGUCAUCUCUGUAUCACUUGUCAUUACAGCGCAAGCCUGAAUGUAAUAUGAUGAGCCCUAUACCUUCUGUGGUACUCCAUAGGCCCCUCUCCGUGGAGGGCACCUGAAUGUACCAGUGUCGGCGACAUUAACACAUUUCUUAUGCCAGGACUGUUUGCACACAGUGCACUCUACUCUGUCUUCCUGGUUCGUCGGCAGUCUACAGUUCAGGCAGGUGUCUGCUGUCUCUGUGACACAAUCCCUGCUGAGGCAGUUCCCUGUGAUUGUAUCGUAUAUGUGCCUUCUCAUUUGUAGCACAUCACAUUCUCUAUGGAAACCAUCAGCGUCAUUCUUACAAAAUAAUUCGGCGUACCAGCACACAAGCACGCCACAGCUGCUUGUAUCAGUUUGGAGUGUCUGCAUCACUUUGUCAAAUUGCCAAUGUCUUCUUCGAUGUGCAAACAAUUUACGUCCGUACUUCUUGCUGAGAAACUCGCACACAAGAAGUGCGGCCUU